AUGGCUGGGUGCAUGAAGGGUCCACAGGAGGAAGCAACAAUAGCAUCUUCAAGUGGGAUUGGUCCUGAGAGUGGGCUCGGACGUGGCUUACACGCUUACAAGGGGUUUAAGACGGUCCAUGGCUCUUCCGUAUGAUUUAAAUUAGUGAAGUCAUGCGGCAUGGCUUGACACACAACAGUGGAGCGGGCUUGCGGCUUGCGACAGACCCUGAGACGCGGCCUAUAACACGA
rnacentral:lncRNA from 1 species